CCAAUCAGAGUGAAGGGGAUGUUUGAGCCCAGAGAGAGGGGAGCAUAAAAUGACUAAGGAUUUGGGGCUUCUCUCUCUUCACUGCCUCUCUUCUAGCUGACUUCUGCCAGUGUGGACAGGUAUUUACAACUUCAAGAGGACAAGAGGGGUAAGCAUCCAGCAGCUUCUUUGGUGACCAGCUGCGUCACUUGACAGCAGGUUAAAGUGCUCACGAUUGUGCAGAACAAGGAGCAUGCUGAACAGUGAUGCUCCAGCUUAAAAGGACAGAGCUGCAAACAAAGUGUCCCACCAAAUGUGAUGAGUUUUUGAAAACGUGCUGAGAACGAAGAAAGAUCAAAGGUAAUGGCUUCAUCUAGGCAUUCCUGGCCGGAACCCUGAGUACAGAAUGGCGGGAAUAACUGAAUUAGGAAUCCCAGGAGCUGAGGUGUAGCCCCUACUCAUUCGUUCAGUUGUUCCUGGCUUUGAGAUCUGGAUGUGAGAUCAAGGUCAGUACUGCAUCAUUGUUACCCGCCUGGCCCUGCUGUUGCUGGCUGCUGCUUAGUGAGUACACCUCCUUCCCAUCCAAGUGUGAGGCACCAAGGUGAAGGUUUUUCAUGACAAGGGAAAGGCCACGGGGGCAGAUGUGAAAAGUAAUAUCCCCUUCGUAGACUUGUGGGAGGUUUAAAUGCACCUGUUGUGAAGUAUUUACUACACUGCCGGCUGUAUAGGAAAUGGCAAAUAAAUAGAGCUGUCCUGACUGUUAUUAAUAAAUUC